GAACCCCAUCAACACCGUCUUUGGUUAGUAUUUCUUGACUGAGCAAAAAUAUAGUUUCUUUUUAAUUGUUUUUAUGUCGUUUAUUUUGUGGUUCAAUGAGUUUUCAAUUAGAUCUAAGGAUUUGAAUUCUAAUGGCUGAGAUGUGGGAUCUCUUGGAUGAGAUCUGAACUUCUGAUUACUUUUGAGUGGGGAUUUGUAUGGAAUGGGGCAGAUCUUAAUGGGUUUUCAUUCAAAUCUAAGGAUUUGAUACCAAUGGCUAAGAUUUGGGUUCUCUUGGAUUAGAUCUGAACUUCAGGUUACUUUAGAGUGGGGAUUUGAAUGGGAUGGAGGGAUGUGGCAGAUCUUCUUCGAUCUGCAAUCCUCUAGUCAGUUAAUAUCUUGUUUCUAUUAUUGUUAUUGGAUUAUAUAGCAUGAUUUGUGCUCCUAUGCGUUAAGAAUAGGGUUGUUUUCCUAUGCAUUAGGAAUCUUAGUUAUGAUAAUUACGUUCUGUUUUGUUAAACAUACCAAAAGAAAUCAUUCAUUUAUGCCAAAUGUCAAAUUUGUUUGCAUUUAUCGACUCUGUAAGAUCGUAGCGUUCUGAAAGUUUCCAAUAGGUUGAGCUAACCAACCUUAAUAUUUGACCUUGUAUGCUGUUCAUUUUCGCAUUGGCUUUGUUUGGUGAUUCGUGUUUAAUAACCUGCAUUCAUUUGUUGCA
rnacentral:misc_RNA from 1 species